rnacentral:misc_RNA from 1 species
GACAAUCCUUGGGCCAUCUCAGAAGAAUCUUCACUUGGAGCAUUGCCUCUGGCUACAGUUGAAUCAUCUGUCAAGAAAUUAUUGGUUGUCAUGUUUUCCAACUUCAAAGAAUGUUCAGAAAAUGUUUCAUUUUGAAUGAUUUCCCUAUCUGACAGAUUUCCUUCAGCAGCAUGAAUUAUCUGUGUAUGUCCAUUUUGGUGUAACUCUAGCGCUUUGCCUGUCAAACUUAAAUCCGAACUAGCAACAAAAUGGAC